rnacentral:rRNA from 1 species
AUUGAACGCUGGCGGCAGGCCUAACACAUGCAAGUCGAGCGGAUGAGUGGAGCUUGCUCCAUGAUUCAGCGGCGGACGGGUGAGUAAUGCCUAGGAAUCUGCCUGGUAGUGGGGGACAACGUUUCGAAAGGAACGCUAAUACCGCAUACGUCCUACGGGAGAAAGUGGGGGAUCUUCGGACCUCACGCUAUCAGAUGAGCCUAGGUCGGAUUAGCUAGUUGGUGAGGUAAAGGCUCACCAAGGCGACGAUCCGUAACUGGUCUGAGAGGAUGAUCAGUCACACUGGAACUGAGACACGGUCCAGACUCCUACGGGAGGCAGCAGUGGGGAAUAUUGGACAAUGGGCGAAAGCCUGAUCCAGCCAUGCCGCGUGUGUGAAGAAGGUCUUCGGAUUGUAAAGCACUUUAAGUUGGGAGGAAGGGCAGUAAGUUAAUACCUUGCUGUUUUGACGUUACCAACAGAAUAAGCACCGGCUAACUUCGU